AUGAUGGCAGGUUUCACUCUCUCACUGAAAAUGCCUCAUUUGUAUUUACUUUUUAGGGUCAUUAUCUGUCCCACGAGAGUCUUUGUGAAGGUCCAAAUUUCAAAUAAACAGUACACUAUAAGACAGGUGAUAAGGGCAAGAAGAACAAUGAGGAUCAUUUGGCCCGAUGAGCUCUGCUUACCCCAGGGUGAGGUGUUGGGACAAGUGAAGGUGGAACCUCAUGAGCCCAGUCAGUGCCAGGCUUCAGAGCAGAGCCCAGGGUCCCAGGCUGGAGGGGUCACCACCAUCCCACCUCCAUCCUAGGAGGAGCAAGCUCCUCAAGAAGUCGUAGAAGAAGGAUGCUGGCAGCAUUCUGUACGUCUGGAAUGGUGAGGUGCUGGGCUUCAAGAGCUGGGCAGGGGACUGACAAACCCUCUGCUGCUCACACAUAUUUGCUAAAACCCUUUGUCCCAGGACAUUCUCCAGACAUCCCAAGGAUGUGAAGAUCAAGAUGUGCUCUCUUUGGCAUGGACUUAAAGUUUGCUUGACAGCUGCUCUGGACCAGAUGCCUGAUUCCUACAGAUUUAGUUCUGCUGUCAGCCCUGGGAAGCACACGCUCUCAGAUCGCUGGAGGAGGUUUGCACCUCCUGCUGUGAGUCCAUACGGCGCCUCUGUAACCUGCUUGCAACCUGCUUGUAACAUGCUUGUAGCCACUUAAUCCUGGCAGAGGGCACAUGCCAUGCCAGCGUUCUCACCAAUGCCAUGCUUUCCCAACACAGUGCCAGCUGUCUUGAGGUUUACAUUUUGGACACUGGGUGGUUGGUUUUUUUCUCCAGUGGUGCCCAGUGCAGCCAGUACAGACACCCUAGAGCAACAUUGGCUCCCCUGGGCCAGGAGGAGUUGUUCAGGCACCCCAAGGGCUCCUGGGCUGCUGUGACUCACCAGCCUCCGAGAAGCUGUAGGAGUGCACUGCUGGACACAGCCCUUCUAAUGAAGCUGGGCCUUAUCCUUGUUCUUCUGGGAUACAGGCAGUACACUGGCACUGCAUGAGCCAUCCUGUAGCUCAGUCCCUCAAGAUUCUUCAGAGCAGCAAAAGCUUCUCCCUGCCACUGCAUGCCCUAUUCAAAGCGUGGGGCUCUUGUUGGGAACCAUGUGAAGGGAGGGAAGAAGGAAUGACUGCUGGAAGGUGGUGGGGUGAGGGAUGGUGGGGCCAUUUCUCGGUUAGAAUUGCUCAGUCUUUGCUAGGAAGGACUGACAGCGUGUCUCUGGUAGAUUAUCCCGGAUAGCCAGACCUUGCCCCAUAUUAUAUGGUUUUCAUCACAAACAUAAAAGUACUUGGUAUAAAACAGAAGGUCAGGAAGGUUUAAGACAUGGUAUAUGAGAAAACAUUUUCCAGAUUUCAGCUUCCUCCAAGGUAAUAUGCAAGUGUAAUUAAAACAGAACCUG
rnacentral:lncRNA from 13 species